rnacentral:rRNA from 1 species
CAGUAGCCACGGGAAUACGAAGGGUGCAAGCGUUAAUCGGAAUGACUGGGCGUAAAGGGCGCGUAGGCGGCGAUCAAAGUCAGGCGUGAAAUUCCUGGGCUCAACCUGGGGGCUGCGCUUGAUACUUGGUUGCUUGAGUGGGGAAGAGGGUCGUGGAAUUCCCAGUGUAGAGGUGAAAUUCGUAGAUAUUGGGAAGAACACCGGUGGCGAAGGCGGCGACCUGGUCCUUGACUGACGCUGAGGCGCGAAAGCGUGGGGAGCAAACAGGAUUAGAUACCCCAGUAGUCCCUGUCUCUUAUAC